AGAUUGAAGUAUUGGUUAGAACAGCUGAAACACCAUAAACAUAGUAUUACAACAACAACAACGAACGGCUGUUGCAACAACAGGUAACAACUAAUACAAUAGCAUAGGUUGAAGCAUUGGAUGGAGCAACCGAAACACUAUGGACAUAGUAUUACAACAAUAUCGAACAAUUGUUGCAACAAUAUGCAACAACUAAUACAACAGUGCAGAUUGAAGCAUUGGAUGGAGCAACUGAAACACCAUGGACAUAGUACUACAACAACAACAAACAACUGUUGUAACAACAUGAAACAAACUACUACAACAUACAGAUUGAAGCAACUGAAACAUCUCAAAAACACAAUACUGAAACAACGACUGAAACCUACUGCAACGUCUAGAAAGAACCAUUGCAACAAUGACAAAAUCUGAAGCUGAGAGCUUGCCGAAAAUCCUAUCAUACUGCAACAUCACCUGAAAAACUGAAAAUAACCACCAUUACAACACGCGAGAGCACUGAAUCCCAAGAGCUCGCCGGAACCCUAGCCAACACAUCUCAUAGAUCUAGACCCAGAGGAAGAGGAGAAGGAGGAGGAGCAGAGGAGGGCCUAGAUCCAGAUCCACAAAAGAGGAGGGAGGGAAAAGGAAGAGGGAGGCCUCAGAUCCAAAUCUCUCCCCACCUACCUCGUCGGAGCCGCGCCGUUCUCUCCAUCUCCGGAUGCAUGGAGGUUAUGAGAGCGAGGGAAAAAGGGCAGGGAGAAAGGGAGCUGCGCCGCUCACUGGAUGCUACCACCGUCACGCUCUACUCCGGUGGCUUCGAGGGCGCGUGGGUCGCAGCGAGGAGGGAGGGAGGAGCGGCUCGCCAUUGGCGCGGCAGGAAGUGCGGACGCAUGGUGGGAGCAACGAGGAGGGAGGGAGGAGCGGCUCGCCAUUGGCGCGGCAGGAAGUGCAGCCGCAUGGUGAGAGCGGCGGGGCGGCAGCGAGACGAGAGAAAAGAGUGGAGAGGAAAAAAAUGAGUGGAUAAGAAGGCAUAGAGGAGGAGCGAAA
rnacentral:lncRNA from 1 species